rnacentral:rRNA from 1 species
UACGUAGGGUGCGAGCGUUGUCCGGAAUUAUUGGGCGUAAAGAGCUUGUAGGCGGUCUGUCGCGUCUGCUGUGAAAAUCCGGGGCUCAACCCCGGACUUGCAGUGGGUACGGGCAGACUAGAGUGUGGUAGGGGAGACUGGAAUUCCUGGUGUAGCGGUGAAAUGCGCAGAUAUCAGGAGGAACACCGAUGGCGAAGGCAGGUCUCUGGGCCACUACUGACGCUGAGAAGCGAAAGCAUGGGGAGCAAACAGG